rnacentral:rRNA from 1 species
AGUGAACGCUGGCGGUAGGCCUAACACAUGCAAGUCGAACGGCAGCACAGGAGAGCUUGCUCUCUGGGUGGCGAGUGGCGGACGGGUGAGGAAUACAUCGGAAUCUACCUUCUCGUGGGGGAUAACGUAGGGAAACUUACGCUAAUACCGCAUACGACCUUCGGGUGAAAGCAGGGGACCUUCGGGCCUUGCGCGGAUAGAUGAGCCGAUGUCGGAUUAGCUAGUUGGCGGGGUAAAGGCCCACCAAGGCGACGAUCCGUAGCUGGUCUGAGAGGAUGAUCAGCCACACUGGAACUGAGACACGGUCCAGACUCCUACGGGAGGCAGCAGUGGGGAAUAUUGGACAAUGGGCGCAAGCCUGAUCCAGCCAUACCGCGUGGGCGAAGAAGGCCUUCGGGUUGUAAAGCCCUUUUGUUGGGAAAGAAAAGCAGCCAGUUAAUACCUGGUUGUUCUGACGGUACCCAAAGAAUAAGCACCGGCUAACUUCGUGCCAGCCGCCGCGGUAA